rnacentral:misc_RNA from 1 species
GUGAAGCCCGGUGAGCUGCUUUCAUCAAAAAUUCAAAGUUUGUGCCCAACAAUAACUGGAAAUGUCUGUUGUACGGAGACUCAAUUUGACACCUUGCGAUCACAAGUGCAGCAAGCAAUUCCCUUUCUUGUGGGCUGUCCAGCAUGCUUGAGAAAUUUUUUGAAUUUAUUUUGCGAACUUACAUGCUCUCCGAACCAGAGCCAGUUCAUCAAUGUCACAUCUAUUUCCAAGGUCAAAAAGAAUUCUACAGUCAAUGGAAUUGAUUUUUUU